UCCGGUGACAGAACAGCAAAGUCAGCGCAUGGUGGCAGGAAGGACACGUGGCUGGCUCUGGGUCAGCACCAUGUUUUUUAACACAUAACUCAUUCUCUUGCCUCCUCUCUCACCUGCCUCACAAAAUAUGGCCCAGCUGUGGUCUCCCCCUUACUCGAGACAGGUUGGCCAGCGAGUGCAGUGAGGGGAAGUAGACCAUCAACCAGGGGCCAAGCUGGACUCUCGUCAGAGGACCCUGGCCCUACAAGACCAUGCUCCUCUUGGGUCUUCAGGUUAUGGAAGUCAAGCAGGCCAGCCUAUAGUCCUGGCUAGGUCGGGCUCUCCUUGGGCCUGCCAACACGUCCAGUGCCUGGGAGGGAGGAGGCUGUUACUCACAACUGUGUCUGGAAGACCACAACCAGGACGGAGAAGGCGACACCCACUGCCACACCGUAGGGCAGGCUCAGGAAGAAGGAGGAGAGGAAGCUCACCACCCACACGCACUGUGAAAAGAGACAUGUCAAAAGUUGGCCUGGGGAGAAAACUGCCUCUUUCAGGAAGUCUUCCUGGAUUAGCUAAAGCCAUUCUCUGCUAGCACAACCUCAGACCUCCCCGUCCCUUUUUAUUGCAUUUUGGUUCAAAGUUUGGUUGUUUAAUAGCAAUGUGAACCUCAGUUUCCUAAUCCAAAAAGGAAGAAUCGUAACACCUACUUUAUGAAAGGAUUAAAGAGUUAAG